GAGUUUGAUCCUGGCUCAGGACGAACGCUGGCGGCGUGCCUAAUACAUGCAAGUCGAACGGUCUUUUCUAUGGAAGCUUGCUUCCACUGAGAAGAUAGUGGCGAACGGGUGAGUAACACGUGGGUAACCUGCCCAUAAGAGGGGGAUAACAUCCGGAAACGGGUGCUAAUACCGCAUAGUUUUCUUGAUCGCAUGAUCGAGAAAGGAAAGACGGCCUUUGUGCUGUCGCUUAUGGAUGGACCCGCGGCGUAUUAGUUAGUUGGUGAGGUAAUGGCUCACCAAGACGAUGAUACGUAGCCGACCUGAGARGGUGAUCGGCCACAUUGGGACUGAGACACGGCCCAAACUCCUACGGGAGGCAGCAGUAKGGAAUCUUUCGCAAUGGACGAAAGUCUGACGGAGCAACGCCGCGUGAGUGAAGAAAGGUUUCGGAUCGUAAAACUCUGUUGUCAGAGAAGAACAAGUCGGAGAGUAACUGCUYCGGCUUGACGGUAUCUGACCMGAAAGCACGGCUAACUWCGUGCCAGCAGCGCGGKAAUACGUAGKGGCAAGSGUGUCCGGAUUWWUGGGCGUAAAGSRRMGCMGSSGUUCYUAAGUCUGAUKKGAAAGCCCMCGSCUCAACCGKGAAGKCAUUGGAAACUGGGAACUUGAGUGCAGAAGAAGRRARKGGAAUUCCAUGKGURSSGGUGAAAUG
rnacentral:rRNA from 1 species